AAGUCGUAACAAGGUCUCCGUUGGUGAACCAGCGGAGGGAUCAUUACUGAGUACUACACUCUCUACCCUUUGUGAACUAUUAUACCUGUUGCUUCGGCGGCGCCACAAGGGUGCCCGCCGGUCUCAUCAGAAUCUCUGUUUUCGAACCCGACGAUACUUCUGAGUGUUCUUAGCGAACUGUCAAAACUUUUAACAACGGAUCUCUUGGCUCCAGCAUCGAUGAAGAACGCAGCGAAACGCGAUAUGUAAUGUGAAUUGCAGAAUUCAGUGAAUCAUCGAAUCUUUGAACGCACAUGGCGCCUUCCAGUAUCCUGGGAGGCAUGCCUGUCCGAGCGUCGUUUCAACCCUCGAGCCCCUGUGGCCCGGCGUUGGGGAUCUGCCACGGCAGGCCCCUAAAACCAGUGGCGGACCCGAAGGGCCCUCUCCUUUGCGCAGUAGCAUUCGCCUCGCAUCGGGAGUCCUCGGCGUCCUGCCUCUAAACCCCCACAAGCCCGCUUCGGCGGCACCAAGGUUGACCUCGGAUCAGGUAGGAAUACCCGCUGAACUUAA
rnacentral:rRNA from 1 species